CAAUGAAGAGCAUGGUAAUGUACACAAAAAUUGAAUUGGAUCUCUAGACCUGCCCUCUUUGAUGCCAUUUGGCUUUGAUUUGGAGGCAUGGUUCUGCAGGAAAACA